rnacentral:rRNA from 1 species
CUGAGUUUGAUCCUGGCUCAGGACGAACGCUGGCGGCGUGCCUAACACAUGCAAGUCGAGCGAUGAAGUUCCUUCGGGAAUGGAUUAGCGGCGGACGGGUGAGUAACACGUGGGUAACCUGCCUCAUAGAGGGGAAUAGCCUUCCGAAAGGAAGAUUAAUACCGCAUAAUGUAGUACCUUCGCAUGAAGGAACUAUCAAAAGAGCAAUCUGCUAUGAGAUGGACCCGCGGCAGCAUUAGCUAGUUGGUGAGGUAACGGCUCACCAAGGCGACGAUGCGUAGCCGACCUGAGAGGGUGAUCGGCCACAUUGGAACUGAGACACGGUCCAGACUCCUACGGGAGGCAGCAGUGGGGAAUAUUGCGCAAUGGGGGAAACCCUGACGCAGCAACGCCGCGUGAAUGAAGAAGGCCUUCGGGUUGUAAAGUUCUGUC